AGGCGGGUCAGGUUAGAGCGCCCCGACGCGUCGGGGAGGUCGCAGGUUCAAAUCCUGCAUCGCCCACCA
rnacentral:tRNA from 1 species